rnacentral:misc_RNA from 1 species
AAGUCGUAACAAGGUAACCGUAGGUGAACCUGCGGUUGGAUCAUUAAUAAACAAGGGGAUUGGUUCAUUUCGGUGAAUGCAAUCCCUGGCCUUUGGGCCUUUAACCUUUGUGAACUGUUAUACUUGGUUUGGACGAAAGUUCUUAUCAAUUUUUAAACAUUGUAUUAAAAGUCUUAUCUAGAAAUCAAUUGAAACAACUUUUGACAACGGAUCUCUAGGCUCUC